UAGUUGUGCUGUGGUCAUGUUAGG
rnacentral:piRNA from 1 species